CUCUCCUCUUCAUAAGCCCGGACCUGACAUACAUUCCCUGCCGGAUCGUUAGCCAUGAACAGUAUGUUGUGCCCAUAGUAUCAGCCUCAAGUUGGAUAGAAUUUGUUUUGUUGUUUUUUACGUAUUGCUUGCCUUAAACUUACCUCCGUUUGUUCUGUCUUCAGUUACUCACCCGGAUCAUUUACCCCAUUCCCGCCUGGUCGUCGGAGGAUUCCGCUUCCCCAUUGGAUCCACCUAUUUACUCCCAUCAACUCACCACCGCUGCCCGCUACACCACCUGGAUAUAUCUACCCAUUCACAUUCACUUUAUUUAACAGCGGUACACAAUAGGAGAGAGACAGAUGGUAUCUCCUUUCGUCGUUAAUAUCAACCAUAAAGGAAAACGGCAAAGUACGAGAGUCAUGCUAUUAAUUGUCCAAAGCAGGGAUGGAGAGUGAGCUAGUGAGGUAGGCUGCAGUGGGUUUGCUGGUCAAGACAUAUACUGAACAUGUAACCACAGUAAUGGUGGCCAGUAAAUCAAUGAUUAAA
ensembl:lncRNA